CCUGGUGCUUUGAGCGCGAUGGUCCCACUUCGAUUCCAUCCCGAACUCGAAAGUGAAACGUUGCAGCGGCGAAGAUACUCCUCGGGUAGCCGAGCGGGAAAAUAGCUCAGUGCCAGGU
rfam:Stanieria cyanosphaera PCC 7437, complete genome.